CUUCUACUCCCUCCGUUCGGAAUUACUUGUCUCGGAAAUGGAUGUAUCUAGAACUAAAAUACGUCUAGAUACAUCCAUUUCUGCGACAAGUAAUUCCGAACGGAGGGAGUAGCAU
rnacentral:pre_miRNA from 1 species